rnacentral:rRNA from 1 species
GACGUAGGGUCCGAGCGUUGUCCGGAUUUACUGGGCGUAAAGAGCGCGUAGGCGGUCUAUUAAGUGUGAAGUGAAAUCUCCAGGGCUCAACCCGGAAACUGCUUCGCAUACUGAUAGACUUGAGGAAUGCAGAGGUUUGUGGAAUUCCUGGUGUAGCGGUGAAAUGCGUUGAUAUCAGGAGGAACACCCAUGGCGAAGGCAGCAAACUGGGCAUUAUCUGACGCUGAGGCGCGAAAGCGUGGGUAGCAAACAGG